CUCUUUACUUGCUUCACUUUUCAUUUCUGCUCGGUGCUCACCCCACCACUCUCUCUCCCCUCUCUAGCAUAACUUCUCUUCUGUCGAAUGAUCAAGCAACUCCAACUUAAAUAGUUUUCUUACUUCUUUAAUUUUAUGCCUAAUUCCUCUUAUUUUUAAUUGUUCUUCCAACAGAAAUGUAUCCAAAUCUCUUAAUCUCAAUUUUGAUGGCAUGGCAUGGCAUGAGUUAUGAUGCUAAAGUGCUAAACAAAGACUAAACGGGUUAUUUUUCUUGAAGGCUUGUUUAAUCUCUCUUAUUUUCAUGUUAUCUCAAGCAGACAGAGGAAAAAGAGAACAAAGAAAUGCUAAUCUUGAUAAACUGCUACAAAAGUGGGGUUGAGAACUUAGCUGGGUUCACAGAUCUGGAAAAUACCUGGAUCCGAUUGGUUGUCUUCUGCACCCGUGUUUAAAGUUCAAACAAAAUUCUCCAUUCGAUCAGUUUCACAAGAUUUGCGAGAAAAAAAAUCUUUUGUAUUUUGAAUGAAUAUGAUGAUAAAAUUCAUUGAUUCCGAUCGAUUUAAUGAAGUUUUUAAUUUAUCUGAUGUGAUUUGAUAUGCUUAUGUAUAUUAAUUUGAUCCCGUAGAGGAAAUUUUGAUUCUGCUACUA